rnacentral:rRNA from 1 species
GGAAUAUUGGACAAUGGGGGCAACCCUGAUCCAGCCAUGCCGCGUGCGUGAAGAAGGCCUUAGGGUUAUAAAGCGCUUUCACUGGUGAAGAUGAUGACGGUAGCCAGAGAAGAAGCCCCGGCUAACUCCGUGCCAGCAGCCGCGGUAAUACGGGGGGGGCGAGCGUUGUUCGGAGUUACUGGGCGUAAAGGGCGCGUAGGCGGCCCGAGAAGUUCUGGGUGAAAGCCCCCGGCUCAACCGGGGAAGGGCCUGGAAAACCAUCGGGCUGGAGUGCUGGAGAGGCAAGCGGAAUUUCUGGUGUAGCGGUGAAAUGCGUAGAUAUCAGAAGGAACACCUGCGGCGAAGGCGGCUUGCUGGACAGACACUGACGCUGAGGCGCGAAAGCCAGGGGAGCAAAC